rnacentral:rRNA from 1 species
UACGGGGGGGGCAAGCGUUGUUCGGAAUUACUGGGCGUAAAGGGCUCGUAGGUGGCCAACUAAGUCAGAUGUGAAAUCCCUCGGCUUAACCGGGGAACUGCGUCUGAUACUGGAUGGCUUGAGUUUGGGAGAGGGACGCGGAAUUCCAGGUGUAGCGGUGAAAUGCGUAGAUAUCUGGAGGAACACCGGUGGCGAAGGCGGCUUUCUGGACAGUAACCGACGCUGAGGCACGAAAGCUAGGGGAGCAAACAGG